GCGGCCGCGGGGGCUCCGCCGGGCCCCACAGAGCCGCCCCCGCCGGGCCGUCAGGAGCUGGUCCCCUCGCUCCGUCCCCGCUUCAGCAGGUGCGGCCACGUCCGGCACAGAGGGCCCAGGAGGAUGGAUCCGUUUAAUUUUUUAUGUCACGCAAGAAUUAGACACGGAGUUGUCAGAUCAGCUCAGCUGCCGGACGCGUGUAAAUCCUGAUGCCGUUUAAAACCUCGUUCUUUUGUCAGAAUGCAGGAGAAUAUCAGCUUGAAGUUCCCGGGCCCAGGCUUUACUGACUCCUCUGUGCUGAUGUAGACCGGCUGUGAACGCACCUUUAGUAAAACGCUGUUCGUGGUUAUAUUUCUGUUGAUCCAGAUUCAGCGAUGACCCAGUGAAUGCAGCAGAAAUGUGUUUCUGUGAGCCAAGUAUCAAGACAUCAGGGAGUGGGAAUGGUCAUGAUAACUGGCUCAGUGUUAUGUUGGCUCACUUCUACAGUGUUUGUGUAAAUUGGCCUCGAAACAAGGAGAAAAUAAACAAGUUUACCACUCCAUUUCUUCUGCUGGUGGUGGUGCUGCAGCGCUAAGUUUGUACUUAGUUUCAAAGGACAAUAUGGGAAAAUAGAUUUGAAACAGGAAGCAGAAUAUACAAGGGACAUCAAGAAAUAAACAAGAAAGCAUCAGCCUCAGAACAUGUUCAAAGAAGUAGGCUGAUGGACCUCAGCAGAGAGACAGCUCAGGUCAGCAUCACAGGCACAGAAAUUUGGAAAGUAUUGCAGAUAAAGCAAUGUUGUAUCUUACUGGAAGAAAACUACUGGGUCAAGCCCAAGUUCACACUGGAAUUCUGUGGGUCAGCCAAAAAUCAAUCCUGAUACAUCCUGGUAACCAUGGUGUCCCUGCUGAUGUGGGAAGCUUCUGGACAACACAAACAGAGUGUGAAGCGGUGAAAUACAGAAGAUUUCUGCAAAGGAAGAGAAGUAUUUUUCCCAGCUAUCAGCUGAUUUAUUACUACUGAUUGUUUGGCCAGUUUUACCAGCUUCUUACCUCUGCUCUUAGUGACCAGUAAAGCAGACUGAAGUAUUGAAUCUGAAAAGAAAUAGGUGAGACAUCAGCAAGAAAAUAGUUGGCUCUGUUCUGAAUUCCUUACAAAUCAAUACAAAUUCUUCAUUUAGUUCAGGAGGAAUAAAACCUUUCAAAUCAACACUUUAAAAAUGCCCUAAAAACCUUCUGGUAACUUUACGAUUAUUCAAUUUAGAAUUAGAAGCACUUUGACUUUAUUGCAGUCAUGCUGCAGUAACUAUAUUAAGUAGAAAGAAAAAUAAAAUUUCAAGGACAGGCCAUAAUUGAAAAGUUAAUUCAUUUUUAAUAUUGAUAUUCACAUUUUAAAGAGCUUUAAGCCUGCAGACUAGGAGAAGAAUAUCAGAAGCAGAAGACACCUUGCUCUAAAUUUGCCUUUUAAUCCUAAUAAAAGUCUCUUGUAAACAGAGGUGGUCCUCCUGUUCAGUUAAAACUCUAAGUGUGAGAAGUUUUUAAUGCUUCAGCUCUUUGUGUAAUGCCUAAAGUUUUAACGCUCUUUUAUUAAAAAAAAAAUCCAAGAGCACAUUUGAAACUGAUGUACACAGAGGGGACCAGACUAUUUGCUGCUGUAAAUGUAAAAGCAAUGCAUUGAUUAUGUUUUUACUGUUGUUUUUAUUUAAAUAGUAUCAAUAUUAUUAUUUAGAAAUCAGAAAUACUCAAAGAACAAGAGUUUUUUUAAACAGUACGUUUUUCUCCCAUUGAAAUGCAGCCAUCUGCAGGCAGUUAUAUAAUAGUGCAUAGCAACAGUACAACAAUUAUAUACAAUAUAUGGCUAUAUUUAAACCUUCUUACAGCACUGAUUAUUAUAAAUGUUAAUACUGCACAGGACGAGGAGGAGAAAAUUUCUUUCAGGGGGAACCUUUACUUGACUGAUUAUCAUUAUGCACUUUAAAGGAUUUGGGUGUGAUCUUUCAUGGGAAUGAUUUUUCUAGAAAAGCUAAAUUCAAGACAUCUCCUUCAGAAAGCCUGGGAGAUUCGGAGUCAUUGAAUUGGAAUGAGGUUUAUUCUUCUAAGUUACUGUGGCAUUGUGAAACUUGCAGUGGAUUUUCAUUUAAAACAGUCAUGCUUUAACAUUCAUUUAAAUUUUUUUUUAAAACCCUAUUUUGAGAUUCAAGCUUGCUGGAAAGAGCUGGCCUGAUUUUCUCUAGUUGAGAUGUGUUUUGCUCAGAGCUGGCUGCUAAGUGGGAUGGGAUGCCUGUGCUCCCUCUCUGCAUUCUGGGUGAAUCUCUGGCAAGGCUACCUUGGCCCUGGAGCAGAGGUGCCUUUUACACACCCCAAGAGAAUCUGUCUUGCUGUUCAGUUGUGUACAAAAUUGAUAGUGGCACCAACAUAACACCAAAAAUAAGAUCACCUACUAUGCUGCUGAAUUUCAAAACAUAGGAUAUGUGUCUGCUGUACCAAAAGGGAAGUGCUGGUGUGUGUGGCUCGCAAGGUGGGACUGUAAGGUUUGGCCAAGGUCAGAACCUGCCCACAGCUGCCAAGUGCAUCGUAUAAAUUCUUCCUACAACACGUAGUCAGAAUCUAAUCUUCUUUUACAAAUGGCCAAAACACUGAUAUGACAAGUUGCAGUGUAUCUUCUUCGAUCUUGGAGAUGUUUUCCAACAGGAGAUCAACCCUGUUGAUGGGUUCUGCCUUAGGUGGGUGAUGGUAUAAUAUCCAGAAAUAGCUUGUGUUACAAACCCAUGCUUUUAAGAGGGAAUCAUUAUCAUGCACGGGUAUAAAUAGCAGUCUAAGGAAGUAAACUGCAACUAGGAGUUGAAAUAUGUUAUUUAACAAUCAUAAGUUGUGUUUCUGCAUUGUACUGGAUAGGUUGUACAAUAUUAUUUUGUUUUGUGUGUCAGCAUGUGUCUGAGCAGAUAUCUAUGCACUUUUAAUGUUUUUCUGCACCUGUUUUAGAAAAGUCACUUAUUCCCUAAUAAAGGGGGAAGAGUCUUCUGGGAAUAUACACCCUGAAAUUAGGAUUUAAUAUAGGUUUUAUGUACAGCUGACUUGGUUAAAAGCUGCUCUUCUGUGCAGUCACAUAUCAAAUUAAAAAUGACAAUAUAAAUAGAUGAAGUUAAUGACUGUGCUGUGGAAUAUGGGAAUAAAGCAUUUGACUUGUACUAAAACAAAUGGGAAAAAUGAAGAUUCACAAUAUAUUAACCCAUGUGUGGUCAAAGAUGCUUCUAUAGAAGCAAGCACUAGUGCUUUGGAUGGCAAUUGAUAUCUCAUGCUACUCUACCUGGAGAGCCCUCUUUAAUGCAUAUGCUGAGAUGAUUAGCUGUAAUAAGGAGAGGCUAGGGAUUAAAAGUGUAAAAAUAACAGCCAUUAAACUUCUUAGAAGGAAUUCUCUGAGGAUGAGUGCCUGUGGCUCACUCAUGCUUGCUUUACUACAUGAUGUACUGAGCUAGUCAGAGCUUUGUUGGAAAAAGGCUUCUAAACAUGGCUGUUAAAAUCAUGAAAUUUUAGUGGACCAUUUCUUCUCUUCAUGAUUAGUUAUUAAUGACCACCUUGACUUUCUGAAUACAAGGUCUUACUGUAUAUAUCAAUACUGUUAUAUAAGUUCAUCAAUUCUUGGGUUGUAGCAUCCCUCUUAUAGAAACUUAACAUGAAAAGUAAAAAAGAAAUUAAAAUACCCUUUACUGAUCUUAUAAUUAAUAUCAGAAUUUAAUCAUAUUGAAUAUUUUAGUACUGCUACAGCCGUUUAUAUGCUUAGAGUGUAGAUGUACUUUUCUUGCAUCUGUGGAUUCAAAACCGCAGGUUCAGGACAUAAUACAAGGUUAUGCAUAAUUUCAAAGGAUAGCAGCCUGUUGGAAAUGCCCUUUAAGAUCUACCACAGCUUCUGUUAUGUACACUCAUGUAAAUCUUCAGUUAGUAUGCAAAAUCAAGAAAUACUUUACUGCUGUCAUGCAAGGUCUUGUUUGAGGGGAAUAUUGAGGAAUUCCCCUGGAUAUUAGAGAUAUUAGAGAAUGAAAAAAGGUUGCUCUCAUAAAGCUGACCUUUGAGAAGAAAUAAAGGGUGAUAGGCAAGUGAACAGAUAGUCUGAUAAAUUCCUUCUCUUUUCCCUAUUAAAGAGAUAGGAGAUGUGUAAGAUCUGCUGUUUUUCACUUGGAAUCAGCUCUCAUCAAAGACAGAGUAGGACUUUGAAUACUAAAUGUAUUUGGAGGUAGAAACUGGAUAAGACCAGUUGCUAAUCAAAGGUACUGGAAUCAGGGAACAUACCUUGUGGAAGAUGAAAUGAGCCCUUUCAUUACUCGUCCCAGAGAUGCAUUACCAUAGUCAGUGAAGAUACCAAAACUCCUGUACAAACAUAUUUUUGUAAAUGCUCAGAAGCAAAAUAAAUGAACUUGUUCCUUGCUGCCUGACUUCUGGUGGUGCAGCACUUGGAUGCUUUUGUAUGUAAUAAAUGUAUGUAUGCAAUAAAAGUCUAUUUAACCUCUGUUAAGUA